rnacentral:rRNA from 1 species
CGUAGGGUGCAAGCGUUAAUCGGAAUUACUGGGCGUAAAGCGUGCGCAGGCGGUUAUGCAAGACAGAGGUGAAAUCCCCGGGCUCAACCUGGGAACUGCCUUUGUGACUGCAUAGCUAGAGUACGGUAGAGGGGGAUGGAUUUCCGCGUGUAGCAGUGAAAUGCGUAGAUAUGCGGAGGAACACCGAUGGCGAAGGCAAUCCCCUGGACCUGUACUGACGCUCAUGCACGAAAGCGUGGGGAGCAAACAGGAUUAGAUACCCUGGUAGUCCACGCCCUAAACGAUGUCAACUGGUUGUUGGGAGGGUUUCUUCUCAGUAACGUAGCUAACGCGUGAAGUUGACCGCCUGGGGAGUACGGCCGCAAGGUUG